rnacentral:rRNA from 1 species
AUGCGUCUUCUUGCUCCAGCAUUCAAGUUCCAUUUCAAGGGAGGACAACGUACCAUGAUACUUUCUGUUUUGUCGAGCCCUGCUUUGGUCUCUGGUUUGAUGGUUGUACAUGCUAAAAAUCCGGUACAUUCCGUUUUGUUUCCCAUCCUAGUCUUUUGCGACACUUCUGGUUUACUUAUUUUGUUAGGUCUCGACUUCUCCGCUAUGAUCUCCCCAGUAGUUCAUAUAGGAGCUAUUUCCGUUUCAUUCCUAUUCGUGGUUAUGAUGUUCAAUAUUCAAAUAGCGGAGAUUCACGAAGAAGUAUUGCGCUAUUUACCAGUGAGUGGUAUUAUUGGACUGAUCUUUUGGUGGGAAAUGUUCUUCAUUUUAGAUAAUGAAACCAUUCCAUUACUACCAACCCACAGAAAUACGACCUCUCUGAGAUAUACGGUUUAUGCCGGAAAGGUACGAAGUUGGACUAAUUUGGAAACAUUGGGCAAUUUACUUUAUACCUACUAUUCCGUCUGGUUUUUGGUUUCUAGUCUGAUUUUAUUAGUUGCUAUGAUUGGGGCUAUAGUACUUACUAUGCAUAGGACUACAAAGGUGAAAAGACAGUAUGUAUUCCGACGAAAUGCCUUGGAUUCUAGGAGCCAUAUAAUGAACAGGACUAUUUCUCCUUUUGGCCAUAGCCAUAGAAGAAGCUUCUCCUCCGGAGCGGGGGGACCGCCUGACAAUUACAAAGAAACCUUUAAAAUGUGGAUUUAG